GCGAGCGUAGCCAAGUGGUAAGGCACUGGAUUGUGGUUCCGGCAUUCGCGGGUUCGAACCCCGUCGUUCGCC
rnacentral:tRNA from 1 species